rnacentral:misc_RNA from 1 species
AAAGUCGUAACAAGGUCUCCGUAGGUGAACCUGCGGAGGGAUCAUUAUUGAAACUUGAAAACAACCAAGUGAAGAGAGAGGGAGGGGGGAGAGGGAGAGAGGGAGGAGAGAGAAUUCUUUCUGUCUCUGUCUCUGUCUCUGUCUCUCUCGUCUUUUUUCUUCCUUGGACAAACAACCAACACACAUGACUAGGAAAAGAGAAUCAGAACAGAGGGAUAGAGAGAUUUGAUUUGAACUCUCACACUCUCGCACACACAAGUUCUUGUCUGAUAAGUAGCUUGUUGAUUUGGAGUUACUACAAUCAAUACAACUUUCAACAACGGAUCUCUUGGCUCUC